UACGAGGGGUGCAGCGUUACUCGGAAUUACUGGGCGUAAAGCGUGCGUAGGUGGUUUGUUAAGUCUGUUGUGAAAGCCCCGGGCUCAACCUGGGAAUGGCAAUGGAUACUGGCAGGCUAGAGUGCGGUAGAGGGUAGUGGAAUUCCCGGUGUAGCGGUGAAAUGCGUAGAGAUCGGGAGGAACACCAGUGGCGAAGGCGGCUACCUGGACCAGCACUGACACUGAGGCACGAAAGCGUGGGGAGCAAACAGGG
rnacentral:rRNA from 1 species